GACGGAGGGUGCUAGCGUUGUUCGGAUUUACUGGGCGUAAAGGGCGCGUAGGCGGCCUGGUCAGUCGGGUGUGAAAGCCCGGGGCUCAACCCCGGAACGGCACCCGAGACGGCCAGGCUGGAGACCGGGAGAGGAGGGUGGAAUAGCCAGUGUAGAGGUGAAAUUCGUAGAUAUUGGCUGGAACACCGGUGGCGAAAGCGGCUCUCUGGCCCGGUUCUGACGCUGAGGCGCGAAAGCGUGGGGAGCAAAC
rnacentral:rRNA from 1 species